UACGUAGGGUGCAAGCGUUGUCCGGAAUUAUUGGGCGUAAAGAGCUCGUAGGCGGUUUGUUGCGUCGGCUGUGAAAUCCCGAGGCUCAACCUCGGGUCUGCAGUCGAUACGAGCAAACUAGAGUGUUGCAGGGGAGACUGGAAUUCCUGGUGUAGCGGUGGAAUGCGCAGAUAUCAGGAGGAACACCGAUGGCGAAGGCAGUUCUCUGGGCCGUAACUGACGCUGAGGAGCGAAAGCGUGGGGAGCGAACAGG
rnacentral:rRNA from 1 species